GACGAACGCUGGCGGCGCGCCUAACACAUGCAAGUCGAACGAGCGAGAGAGAGCUUGCUUUCUCGAGCGAGUGGCGAACGGGUGAGUAACGCGUGAGGAACCUGCCUCAAAGAGGGGGACAACAGUUGGAAACGACUGCUAAUACCGCAUAAGCCCACGGCUCGGCAUCGAGCAGGGGGAAAAGGAGCAAUCCGCUUUGAGAUGGCCUCGCGUCCGAUUAGCUAGUUGGUGGGGUAACGGCCCACCGAGGCGACGAUCGGUAGCCGGACUGAGAGGUUGAACGGCGACAUUGGGACUGAGACACGGCCCAGACUCCUACGGGAGGCAGCAGUGGGGAAUAUUGCACAAUGGGGGAAACCCUGAUGCAGCGACGCCGCGUGGAGGAAGAAGGUCUUCGGAUUGUAAACUCCUGUUGUUGGGGAAGAUAAUGACGGUACCCAACAAGGAAGUGACGGCUAACUACGUG
rnacentral:rRNA from 1 species